GCGGACAUGGUAUAAAGGUAGUGCCCCGGCCUUCCAAGCCGGAGAAGACGGGUUCGAGUCCCGCUGUCCGCUCCA
rnacentral:tRNA from 1 species